CAGCUGCUGUGAGCGCGCAGCACCACUCUGCCACAGACAGCAAAAGGAGGAGAGGGAGGAGAAGAUACAGCACACGGGCGAACACUCAGGAGCAUCAUGGCACCAAUUGGAUUAAAGGCGGUCGUUGGCGAAAAGAUCAUGAAUGAUGUCAUCAGGAAGGUGAAGAAGAAGGGAGAAUGGAAGGCUUUGAUAGUGGACCAGCUCAGCAUGAGGAUGUUGUCUUCUUGCUGCAAAAUGACUGAUAUCAUGACAGAGGGCAUCACUAUUGUUGAAGACAUUAACAAGCGAAGAGAGCCUCUCCCUUCAUUGGAGUCCAUUUACCUGAUAACCCCAACUGAGAAGUCUGUGCAGACUCUCAUCAAUGACUUCAAAGAUCCCCAUUCAGCGAAAUAUAAAGCGGCUCAUGUCUUCUUUACUGACUCUUGCCCGGACCCCCUUUUUAAUGAAGUGGUGAAGAGCCGUGCCUCGAAAACCAUUAAAACCCUAAAUGAGAUCAACAUCGCCUUCCUGCCCUACGAGUCCCAGGUGUUCUCUUUGGACAAUCCUGAUGCCUUCCAGAGUUUCUACAGUCCUCAUAAGACACAGCUGAAGAACCCUGUGAUGGAACGCUUGGCCGACCAGCUGGCAACUCUGUGUGCCACACUGAAGGAAUACCCUGCCGUCCGAUACAGAGGGGAGUAUAAAGAUAACGCCACUCUGGCUCAGCUUCUUCAGGACAAACUGGACGCCUACAAGGCAGAUGAUCCCACAAUGGGGGAGGGCCCAGAUAAGGCUCGCUCCCAGCUCAUUAUUCUGGACCGAGGUUUCGACCCUGCCUCUCCUGUCCUGCACGAGCUCACCUUCCAGGCUAUGGCCUAUGACCUCCUGCCCAUUGAGAAUGAUGUCUACAAGUAUGAUACUAGUGGGAUGGGAGACUCUCGUGAGAAAGAAGUGCUACUGCAUGAAGACGAUGACCUCUGGGUGGCGCUACGGCACAAACAUAUUGCUGAGGUCUCUCAGGAGGUGACGCGCUCCCUGAAGGAAUUUUCUGCUAGUAAACGGAUGAACACUGGAGAGAAGACCACUAUGAGGGACCUGUCUCAAAUGCUGAAGAAGAUGCCACAGUACCAGAAAGAGCUCAGCAAGUACUCGACCCAUCUGCAGUUGGCCGAGGAUUGCAUGAAGAACUACCAGGGAACCGUGGACAAGCUGUGCCGUGUAGAGCAGGAUCUCGCUAUGGGAACAGACGCAGAGGGCGAAAAGAUUAAAGACCCCAUGAGGGCCAUCGUUCCAAUCUUGCUGGACGCCAACGUCACCACCUACGACAAGAUCCGUAUCAUCCUGCUCUAUAUUUUCCUGAAGAACGGGAUCACGGAGGAGAACCUUAACAAGCUAAUUCAACAUGCCCAGAUCCCUCCUGAGGACAGUGAGAUCAUCACCAAUAUGGCUCACCUGGGUGUCCCAAUCAUCACCGAUUCUACUCUCCGCAGAGGCAAGAAGCUUGAUCGUAAAGAGCGUGUGAGCGAGCAGACCUACCAGCUUUCUCGCUGGACCCCACUCGUCAAAGAUAUAAUGGAGGAUGUAAUCGAAGACAAGCUGGACACUAAAUAUUAUCCGUACAUCUCAACACGCUCGUCUUCUUCCUUCAGCACUUCUGCAGUCAGUGCCCGAUAUGGCCACUGGCACAAGAAUAAAACCCCUGGAGAGUACCGUACAGGACCUCGCGUCAUUGUCUUCGUCCUUGGGGGCGUGUCCUUUAGCGAGAUGCGCUGUGCCUAUGAGGUCACACAGGCCAAUGGCAAAUGGGAGGCCAUCAUUGGUUCUACCCACACGCUCACCCCAACCAAAUUUCUAAUGGACCUGCGGCACCCCGACUUCCGAGAAUCCACUAGUGGGUCCUUUGAGGACCCUGACCCCUCAGACGAGUGAGAGAGAGAGAAAGAGGGAAGGGUGGGAGAGAGAAAUCACACUCUGACAAAGUUCGACCCAUAUCGUCCCCCCCACCCAGCUUCUGGAUGCUCUCAAGGCCAUGAACAAACCCGACGAGGAGCAGACAAGCUAAAAUCACAAUUUCCUCCCUCCCAACCCCAUCGCCCAGUUACCCUCUCCCUCCCUUCAUCUGUCGCCCUGUAAAUCACACCUACUGCUAUAUAAAUUGUGUAUGCAUCUUGCUUGAGAAAAAAAAAAUUGGUGAAGUUAAAAGGAUAUUCUAUAAAUUGAUAUAUAUUUAAAUAUAUAUAAGUAUUCUUCUGUUUUACAAUGGAUGCAAAUGAUUACUGUCAAACUGAGUUUUCAUUAUUAAUUGCCAUUUAUAAACUUUAAAGUACCAAAUGUAAUAUUGUAUGUUAUGGAAUCUGCUAGAAUGCGUAAAUGGUAGAUCAUGUUUUGUGUUCGCUCUUUAUUUAACCUGGUGUGUUUUUUUUUUCUGUGCUUUAUUAUUUAAUUUUUUAUGGUUUAAAAGUGGUUGGGGGAGGGACUGGAUUGUAUAGACCAGUGAGGCAAAAUAAAGCAUAUCACUUCCUAAUCUGAAGGCUAAACCGCCGUCCAGUUUAGAUGCUUGGGUUUAAUUGUUGUCUCAUUUUAGAUGUGCAUGCCAUGCACGCUACUAUGUGGCCCGUUUGACAUGUUUUAAAACACUGGGGGGAAAAAAGAAUAAAAAACUAAAUGAAACGGAGCAUCUUCUGGGACUCCAGUGAUGAAGAGGAAGGAGGCCAAAGGAGUAACAGAUCAAAGCCUCAAGCUGUAAAAGUGAAAGAGACACUGUAUAUAGAUAGCGGACGUCACCCCUCCGUCAGUCUAAAUUCCGGGAUCAUUUACUCUCCAUAUACUUUUCUUUUCACGUCUCCUUCCACAGAGACCUCAUGGUUUAGUGUGAAGAAGGCCGUUGCUUGCAGAUGUUUAAGGAAUUCAAAAAAAGGGCCAGUUGUAUUUCAGUAUUGUAUCUUGUCUUAUCAUUGGUUAGUAAACGAUGUUUAACUGGGACAUGCACUGAGUAGCGUGUUGUUGUAUGCCAUAUGUUACUGUUUUUUCGUCUCACUGUUGACUGGUGCAAAUUUCUGACUGUGAAGUAGUAAAACUUUCCUUUGCCAAUGUGAAGCCACUGUGUUUGUGAUGUAUUAGCUGUAGCUGUAGUGAUAAACUGGGGAAAAAAUAGGUAAUAUCAAUCUUUCAUUUGUCCGUCUGAUAGUUUCUUUAUUACUCUCUGUUAUA